UUUAACAAAUGUUUGAUUAGUUUGGUCUAAAAGAGUUUAGCUAGUUAAUCUUUGAUUGUCGGAACCCUUGAUCUAUAGGUUCAUUAGGUUCCCCUCUUAACUCAUAUGGAAUUAACUUAGAACAAUAUUUUGAAAUAAUUUGAAUUGUUUGAAUUAGGUAAAAAGAGAGAAAUCGAUCAAUAUAUGUGAUGUAGUCGUCAGUUAUCAGUUUGGAUAGAGUUUUAUGUUUAAAUGUAAUUUAAAUACUAAAAAUAUGAAAAUUGAUUCAUAUUCGAAAGCUCAAUAGCGAUGAAAAUUGUCAAAGUUGUAAAAAGUCAAAUUGUUGACUUUUGACUUUGAAAAGUCAAACUUUGACAGAGUUUAAAUUCAAAUGUGAUUUGAAUUUCUAAAAAGUGAAUGUGGAUUCAUGCUUGGGAGGUCGGAAUUAGUUAAUACAAAAAAAUGGUAGACAGUUAAAAUGUUGAGUUUUGACUUUGACUUGAAUGGUUAAAUGAUCAUUAUUGCUCUUUGAUUAAACUUAGUGAGAAUAUCAAACAUUUUGUUGGGUAACCCCACUAACAUUUAGUGGGAUAAGUAGCUACAUGAGAUGUAAAUACGAGCCUACUGAAUUCCAUUGAUUGUUAAUGAAAAAUAAGGUGUUUAACAUAGCUUAAUCUUUACAAGCAAUAGUUGCAUGUCUUUCGCAUGUUUAAAGGCUUGUUUUCAAAAUUGUAAGAAACUUUUACCAAAUUUUAAUUUUUGAAGUUAGAACAAAGAGUGAAAAAAAAUCUUACCUAAGAUCUUCCAACCCUAGUCCAUUUUCCAUUUUUCUCUCUUUCAUUCAUUCACUUGUCGUGUCCCACAACUCGGUUUUAAGUCCAAAGAAUAGCGAAUCAACACUAGCAUUGGUCCUCGAUUCGAGUUCAUGAGAAGAUUACGAGGAAUGGGAAGGUACGAAGGCCUGAAAACUCGUUCCUCACUCGAUCUGGAACAUGAUCGUGCCCCUAUUGUCUCUCGCCCCAGCACUCCGCCAUGUGGCUCUUUCGUAAUGCACGACACGUCCUUCCAAACCAGAACGCUCGAUUCGUUUGUGUUCGACCCGCUUCACGUUUCAUGUUUGACACCGUUCUGUGUGUGAAGCCUAAUUUGUGCACCCGUCCACUCUGCAAUCCGACCCAUCUGCUCGGUUGACCUGUACCUGAUGGUUGAAUAGUUGGCUUUUGGGCUGGUUCAAUCCCAAUGGUUGGCUCCUAGGCCAACUCAACUUGUUAUGGGUCAGUUCAACUUGUUUUUGGUGUUUUUCCAGUUGGCUCAAGUUGUUCGAGAGCUCUUAUGUUGUAAACUCCAUAAUUUUCUUGGAUUAUUUGUUGUCAUUGUUAUAGAAAGUUGAAUUUAAGUUAUUGAAGAAAAUUGACAACCCUUUUGGUUCAAGUUCUUUUAAAAAGAUAUAAGAAAAAGAAAAAGAAAAA